ensembl:lncRNA
CCAGCGAGACUACGACGCCAUCACCAGGGCCAUCCGAGACCGGCUGGGCCUCUACCCGGAGGAACAUCGAUGGCGGUUCCGGGCGCUGGCCUUCAGUGAGGGGGACCGACCCUUCGCCUUCGCCCAGCAGCUGAGGGACCAGGCAAGGAGGUGGCUGGUCCCAGACCGGAACACGGCGGAGGACGUGGUGGAGCAGGUGGCCCUGGAGAGACGGACGCGUCGGAUAGGGGGUUGGGCAUGGUCCUGACCCAGCAGGUGGAGGUGCU